CUCCGGGGAUAACAGGCUGAUACCGCCCAAGAGUUCAUAUCGACGGCGGUGUUUGGCACCUCGAUGUCGGCUCAUCACAUCCUGGGGCUGAAGUAGGUCCCAAGGGGAUGGCUGUUCGCCAUUUAAAGUGGUACGCGAGCUGGGUUUAGAACGUCGUGAGACAGUUCGGUCCCUAUCUGCCGUGGGCGCUGGAGAAUUGAGGGGGGCUGCUCCUAGUACGAGAGGACCGGAGUGGACGCAUCACUGGUGUUCGGGUUGUCAUGCCAAUGGCACUGCCCGGUAGCUAAAUGCGGAAGAGAUAAGUGCUGAAAGCAUCUAAGCACGAAACUUGCCCCGAGAUGAGUUCUCCCUGAGACUUUAAGUCUCCUGAAGGAACGUUAAAGACGAUGACGUUGAUAGGCCGGGUGUGUAAGCGCAGCGAUGCGUUGAGCUAACCGGUACUAAUGAACCGUGAGGCUUAACCUUACAACGCCGAAG
rnacentral:rRNA from 1 species